rnacentral:rRNA from 1 species
CAGUCGCCGCGGUAAUACGUAGGGUGCAAGCGUUAAUCGGAAUUACUGGGCGUAAAGCGUGCGCAGGCGGUUAUAUAAGACAGAUGUGAAAUCCCCGGGCUCAACCUGGGAACUGCAUUUGUGACUGUAUAGCUAGAGUACGGCAGAGGGGGAUGGAAUUCCGCGUGUAGCAGUGAAAUGCGUAGAUAUGCGGAGGAACACCGAUGGUGAAGGCAAUCCCCUGGGCCUGUACUGACGCUCAUGCACGAAAGCGUGGGGAGCAAACAGGAUUAGAUACCCCUGUAGUCCCUGUCUCUUAUAC